CUUGCUGAUAGCUCAGUUGGUUAGAGUGUGGUGCUGAUAACACAAAGUUUGCAGGUUCAAUCCUCAUUCCUGUAUUACAGGG